rnacentral:rRNA from 1 species
UACGUAGGGUCCAAGCGUUAUCCGGAAUCACUGGGCGUAAAGCGUGCGUAGGUGGGAGUUUAAGUGAAAUGUUAAAUCGUGUGGCUCAACCAUAUCGAUGCAUCUCAUACUGGACACCUAGAGGACAGCAGAGGCAAGUGGAAUUACGAGUGUAGCAGUGAAAUGCGUAGAUAUUCGUAGGAACACCAAUGGCGAAGGCAGCUUGCUGGGCUACUCCUGACACUGAGGAGCGAAAGCGUGGGGAGCGAACAG